rnacentral:rRNA from 1 species
UAAUGGCCUACCAAGGCGACGACGGGUAGCCGACCUGAGAGGGUGACCGGCCACACUGGGACUGAGACACGGCCCAGACUCCUACGGGAGGCAGCAGUGGGGAAUAUUGCACAAUGGGCGGAAGCCUGAUGCAGCGACGCCGCGUGAGGGAGGAAGGCCUUCGGGUUGUAAACCUCUUUCAGCAGGGACGAAGCGCAAGUGACGGUACCUGCAGAAGAAGCACCGGCUAACUACGUGCCAGCAGCCGCGGUAAUACGUAGGGUGCGAGCGUUGUCCGGAAUUACUGGGCGUAAAGAGUUCGUAGGCGGUUUGUCGCGUCGUUUGUGAAAACCCGGGGCUCAACUUCGGGCUUGCAGGCGAUACGGGCAGACUUGAGUGUUUCAGGGGAGACUGGAAUUCCUGGUGUAGCGGUGAAAUGCGCAGAUAUCAGGAGGAACACCGGUGGCGAAGGCGGGUCUCUGGGAAACAACUGACGCUGAGGAACGAAAGCGUGGGUAGCAAGCAGGAUUAGAUACCCUGGUAGUCCACGCCGUAAACGGUGGGCGCUAGGUGUGGGUUCCUUCCACGGAAUCUGUGCCGUAGCUAACGCAUUAAGCG